UCACACACGUGCCUGGGCGCCCUCUGUUAUCUACUCCCAGACGCGCCUCAGGGGAUGACUCUGCUCAGAAACAAUGAAGUGACUACAGGAAUCCUCAUCUCCCUUCAGAGCAGAAGCAAGAGCAGGAAGAGGACUUUUAAGGGUAGAAGAUAAGACAGAAAUAGAUCCUUCUGAACUAGUGGAUCAAGAUACUACAAGCAAAGCAAUCUUGCUAUGCUACAGAUUUAACCAGUGACUCCCAGGAACUGUCACAGUGUGUGGAGCACCACCAGGACCUGUGGGAGCAACUUAUUCCAGCCUGUAACUAAUCAGUCAAGGGAGCAGUUCCCUGCUAAGUGGCUUAAACGAGAUUCCAUCAAGGAUAGAAGCUGGCUGGCUGCAGGAGAGUUGUUUUGAAGUGCAAGAGGUUUUCUCUGAGAUCACAUUAUCGUUGCAAGGCUGCCUGAUCUUCAGGCAUGUACAGCAGUUUACUGUGUUUGCUGAAUGAGCUAAACUGCCCUUGCAUUUACUUUGGGAUGGGAUCUUGCUUGAGAGAUUAACUGGGGAGCCUGUGGCCUUCUUUAUUCUGGUCUGAAAAGAGAUAAAAUGGACUAUACCACUCAACUUUGGACUACAACUUUAGGCAAAAAAGUGGGUCUAUAUUUAAAGUUUUUGCUCAAAUUUCAUUGUUUAUUUUACUAUCAUGAUUCAGUGUGUUACAGUCAUCAACUACCUGCUUGGUCGCUGAGCUAUUUGCUUGAAAAAGUAACUUUACCUUAAUCUAAAGAUGAGUUGGGGGCAAGAAAUAUGUGCUCAGGUCUCAUUUACUCCAGUCCACAAUUUCAGCUCAACUCGACUUUAAUGAACAUUGUACCAGAUAGCUGGCAACACUUACCUGAAAGAUAGCUGUCAUAGGAAUAGAAAAACUUUAAGCUGUAGCAGGAUAUUCUGAAAUGCCUUAGGUGAGGUUUUUACAGGGACAGACUCUUUGUCAUGCUCAUGAAGAUGGAUACCUCCAAAUUGCAGACACGGAAGGAGCUAGUACCUUAGGGAGUGCUUCUUUCUUCCCCUCCAGUAACAGGAAAACUCUAACAGGUACUGUUUGAGAUGAGGCUGGAACAGUAAUAUCACAUUUAUUAACCACCAAUGCCUGCUUAAACAUUUCACUUGCUCCUCUUCUCCCUCUCCCUUUAUUCCUUCAGAUGGAUAAGUUUCCCCAUCCCAUUUACAUGUGGCUGUAUAAGCGGGAGAGUAAUGUUUCAAAAAAAACCCUCCAGUAAGAAACAAGACAGGGACAGUCUGGUGAAAUGUCAGGUGAAAGAAUGGAGCAGAGACUCUACAGAGCAGUGGUGCUGCUGGGCAUGGCCAUACUCACAAAAACUAGAUUCAAAGAGUUUUUUAGGAAAAAAAAAAAAAGU